rnacentral:rRNA from 1 species
GACGAACGCUGGCGGCGUGCCUAACACAUGCAAGUCGAACGGGGUAAUUUCCUUCGGGGGAUUACUUAGUGGCGAACGGGUGAGUAACGCGUGAGGAACCUGCCUUUCAGUGGGGGACAACAGUUGGAAACGACUGCUAAUACCGCAUAAUGUAGCGAGACCGCAUGAUCUUGCUACCAAAGCUUUAUGUGCUGAAAGAUGGCCUCGCGUCUGAUUAGCUAGUUGGUGGGGUAACGGCCCACCAAGGCGACGAUCAGUAGCCGGUCUGAGAGGAUGAACGGCCACAUUGGGACUGAGAUACGGCCCAGACUCCUACGGGAGGCAGCAGUGGGGAAUAUUGGGCAAUGGGGGAAACCCUGACCCAGCAACGCCGCGUGAAGGAAGAAGGCCCUCGGGUUGUAAACUUCUUUUAGCAGGGACGAAGAAAUGACGGUACCUGCAGAAAAAGCAACGGCUAACUACGUG